UGACUGAGUCAUGAACCUGGAAGUUUGUUCGGUCAGCCAGCUAUAGUUUCUGUUUGGUAAAAACACAGGGUUUUUGACUUAAUCACUCACUCCCUGCAAACCUGAGCAGGAUUAAGCGGGUGAAAAAUGAAUCGACUGAUGGAUUGCUGUUCACGUCUGCUACCUUUUGCGAGUUCUUUGACAAACCUGUUUUUCUUUUCUGCCAUUUAAUCCAGUUUGUGUGAUUUUACUUUUCACAUAAAUUUUGCCUGGACGCUCCACUGUUGGGGAAAGACAGCCAUUUUAGGCAGAAAACCAGACACACAGAAAUAAGGAGGUGUGACAUGAAAGUCGACUGAACAUCAGAGACGGCACAUAAGAAGGAAACAUAUUUUUGAUUAUCUUUUUCUUAGAAUUUCCACUUGUUUUUUGCUGUUCAAAGUCAAAAGCAUUCUUCUACUGCUGGGAAUAUAAACAAAGAACAAAGUAAAUCAUAAGGAAUGUGUGUGUACAUUACUUGUCACAUGGAGGAUUAUGUACUUUCUAAAAAUAACUAGGAUCUUCUUUGAUCAGAGUGAUACAGCACACCCUAAAGACUACAGGUUAUUGCAAUGGUAACCUCACAUUGCCCUUGGUCUUGGCUAGCGUAGGAAUUAUAAACAUGUUUCAUAGCUCAAUAAAACUAUUAGUCAGUCAAACAUUUUUGUCUCUCCAUACCUUUUAUACUACAAAAAGAAACAUUUUGAUGUAUAACUAGGAACAUACCAGUAAGUAAUGGAUUGAAGUAUUGAGUUGCAUAGUAACGUUGUUGUUUAUAAUGUGUGGUAUUUUUAAUAAAUACUUCAUGUGAGCGCUA